AAUAUAUUGAGAAAUUACAGACAGUAGCCUACAAGCAGCAAAAUUGCACAUAGUUCUAUGAAGAGCUUGUUUCCUAGGUUAGGGAUUAUGUGCAAUGAAGAGCUUGUUUCCUAGGUUAGGGAUUAUGUGCAAUGAAGAGCUUGUUUCCUAGGUUAGGGAUUAUGUGCAAUGAAGAGCUUGUUUCCUAUGUUAGGGAUUAUGUGCAAUGAAGAGCUUGUUUCCUAGGUUAGGGAUUAUAUGCAAUGAAGAGCUUGUUUCCUAGGUUAGGGAUUAUGUGCAAUGAAGAGCUUGUUU